UACGGAGGGGGCUAGCGUUGUUCGGAAUUACUGGGCGUAAAGCGCGCGUAGGCGGCCUUGUACGUUAGAGGUGAAAGCCCAGGGCUCAACCCUGGAAUUGCCUUUAAGACUGCAUCGCUUGAACAUCGGAGAGGUAAGUGGAAUUCCGAGUGUAGAGGUGAAAUUCGUAGAUAUUCGGAAGAACACCAGUGGCGAAGGCGACUUACUGGACGAGUGUUGACGCUGAGGUGCGAAAGCGUGGGGAGCAAACAGG
rnacentral:rRNA from 1 species